GUCCUUAUAGCUCAGUUGGUAGAGCACAAGCCUCCUAAGCUUGGGGUGAGAGGUUCAAUUCCUCUUAAGGACG
rnacentral:tRNA from 1 species